rnacentral:rRNA from 1 species
AACGAACGCUGGCGGCGUGCCUAAUACAUGCAAGUCGAGCGAAGGGGCGGAUUGGUGGGUAACGCGUGGGUAACCUGACCUUAAGCCUGGGAUACCAUUUGGAAACAGAUGCCAAUACCGGAUACUAAAGGAUGAAGUGGAGAUGCAUUAGCUAGUUGGUAAGGUAACGGCUUACCAAGGCGAUGAUGCAUAGCCGGUUUGAGAGACUGAUCGGCCACAGUGGUACUGAGACACGGUCCAAACUCCGACGGGAGGCAGCAGUAGGGAAUCUUCCACAAUGGACGAAAGUCUGAUGGAGCAACGCCGCGUGAGUGAAGAAGGUUUUCGGAUCGUAAAGCUCUGUUGUUGGUGAAGCGGUAAUCAACCAGAAAGUCACGGCUAACUACGUGCCAGCAGCCGCGGUAAUAC